CUUGCCAUUUAUCCCAUGUGAUAUUCAAUCUAUCUUGACCCUCAUUCCUUCUACAUGUAUCGCAUUACUCCUUUGUAUUCAUAUAUUUCUUGGCCUAUAUUGUAUAUAUUCAAAUCAUCUAAAUCAUUUCUCUCAAUUUAUAAUCUAUUGAUACCAUCACUAUCCUUUUACAAAUAACUUCAUUUUUUAUACUAUCUUAUCUUAUGUUAGCAUACAUCUAUCUCAACAAUCCAUAUUUGUGCACAUAUUCUUUUCCAAUCGUCCGUGUGGGCAACUUCACCCUUGAGCAUGGUUUGACCGUAUGGCUUGCAUCCGUUUGCCUCGAGCUAAAGCACCACUCAAUAUUAGCACAUGAAGCAAGGACGCACCGUCUACAUGAAUGAAAUGGCACGAUGAAAAGAAUUGCCAAUCGCCAUGUACUUAAUUUGCAAGCCAUUCAUGGAAUUCGAAUAAUGGUUUGUCCCAAGGAUUCCAGGUUUCUUCAGAAACAUUUACUACCCAUAGCCCAAUAUAUCUGCUGAUUGGCGACUUAUAUUUAGAAAUCAACAUCAUGCCUAAGUCCGUCUGGAGCAUAAGUAUUUACAAUAUUUACCAUGCAAUCAACAUGAAACAACAUCCUUUGCUCCAGAGUCAGACAUCAUGCCUCCCAUGAUGUCCAGAAGUGCAAGAAUGAACCGUACACCUAGAUGCCCUCAACCCAAAUUUUGUUGAAAUGGAACAAUAGGAUUCGGCAAGUCACUCCUUUUAGGUUAGAUAGCUGAAAGUUGAAAAUUUCCAUCAAAAAGGCCCAAGCCAUCCACGAGUGGCUCAGGCUCAAUUAAGCUUGUUUGCUUGAAAAUAAGCUGAGCUCAAGCAGGAUGCGGCUAACAACCGACCGAAGCUUUAAAAAGUUUUAAGUAAACUAGGAAAAAGCAAGUACAGGCUCCAGCUUGCCCCGAAAACUGGCUGAUUUAAACCAGCUCAUGAGUGAGAAACUGAACAAUAAUAACUUAGGUAAGGUUGAGCAGGGCACAAACACCCCUUCAAUAUAACCCGGCUACACCAAUCCAAGCCCGAACAGCCAGAGUAUAGCUGGCUUGUGGAAGGCCAGCACUGAUACGGAGGAGGAGGUAUGAUGAAGACAAUUUGGUGGCAGAUGGAGACAAGUAGUCAUUUCGUAGAUGGCUGAACCAUAAUAGGUAGCGGCCUCAUUUUCAGGCACCAGAGUAACCUUACCAGAAAAUACAAAAGCGUCCUGCUGCUCUAGUCACAAAUGGAACAACCCCGAAGAAAAUGAAAACUUUGAAGCAUCACACCAUGAGCCGAGUAACCAAUUUUGGGAUAGAGAAAUGGACUUUGAGGGAGACCGCAGGAGAUUAUCAUCAGAUGGAACUACUCGAUACCAAGAUGGGCUGGAAGGUGCUCCGUUGCCGAAUAAAAAUGACUGUUGAAAUCUUUUUUGCGUGCAUAGUCAUUCACUCCUAAAAUUGAACGGGUUAGAAUGCCAUAAAUUGCAAGAACAAGUAUUCUAUCAGAUAAAAUACAUUAAUAAUGAUAAGACAUGUAAUCUUAAAUAAAAUGCUCAAAUCAUUUUAAUAAUGAGCAAAUGAAUAGUCUGUUCUUCCACACUAACUGGAGCAUUAAAUCCUCAC
rnacentral:lncRNA from 1 species